rfam:Gorilla gorilla gorilla genomic chromosome, chr6, whole genome shotgun sequence
GCUGGGCAUGGUGGCUCAUGCCUGUAAUCCCAGCAUUUUGGGAGCUGAGGUGGGUGGAUCACCUGAGGUCAGGAGUUCAAGACCAGCCUGGCCAACACGGUGAAACCCCAUCUCUA